AGAGCGAACGCUGGCGGCAGGCCUAACACAUGCAAGUCGAGCGCCCGUAGCAAUACGGGAGCGGCAGACGGGAUAGUAACACGUGGGAACGCGCCCUUCGGUUCGGAAUAACUCAGGGAAACUUGAGCUAAUACCGAAUACGCCCUUACGGGGAAAGAUUUAUUGCCGAAGGAACGGCCCGCGUCCGAUUAGCUAGUUGGUGAGGUAAUGGCCCACCAAGGCUACGAUCGGUAGCUGGUCUGAGAGGAUGACCAGCAUCACUGGGACUGAGACACGGCCCAGACUCCUACGGGAGGCAGCAGUGGGGAAUAUUGGACAAUGGGCGCAAGCCUGAUCCAGCCAUGCCGCGUGGAUGAUGAAGGCCUUAGGGUUGUAAAGUCCUUUAACGGGAAGAUAAUGACGGUACCGUAGAAUAAGCCCCGGCUAACUUCGUGCCAGCAGCCGC
rnacentral:rRNA from 1 species